ACUUAAAUAAUUUAAUUAAAAUAUUGAUUUGUGGAAUCAAAAAUAUGAAAUCAAUCAUUUUAGGUU
rnacentral:tRNA from 1 species